rnacentral:lncRNA from 1 species
AGAGGAUGAAGCAAAGCAGUAUCUGAAUACGUAAUGCACGCUGUUAUUUCUUUUGUGGAGAAAGACCUUGUGGUGGACAGCGACAUCAUGUGGCUAAACGUACAUGGGUCCACUUGCUCAUUCUUGAAGCCAGGAAAUGAAAUCAGCUCCACCUAAAUUAUGUGAACUGAAAAGUGGGAGGUUGGUUUUUAUGUGAACUGAAAAGUGGAGGUCAUGGCAUGUACCCAAAUUCUCCUGGAGCUUAAACAGAUGGCAGAUAGCUUCAGAACUGCUCGUUACAGCAUUAUGUAGUUGCAAAGCAAUUGCAUAUGUAUGAUACCCAGUAAUUAUUAUUUAAUCUAUAGCCAACAUUGACCACUGUUGACACAUAGAAGGAAUUAUACCUAGAAUCCAGAUGCUAGCUUCAGGAAACAUGGCUUGCUUGAGACAAUUUCUGCAAUCAUAUAAGGUAAUUAAUUAUACCGGAUAUUCAGAAUGACAUAUGUGGGGGUAUAAGAGGCAUUUUGUGCUGUUAUUUAGGAUUUCUGAGAAUAUGGAAUAUUUCCCCCUUCCCCCGGAGAUAGAAUACUAUUGCCAGAUAUGCAAGUACAUUUCCCCCACAACGGGGAAAAGAGAUUAAGAAGCCAUGCUCAGCAAAUAUCCUUCCUCCCACUGCACUUGAUAUCUCUUGGUACCUGUUUUGGGUCAAAGAUACCCCAAAAGACAUCACUUUUCUGAGGUUUAAAUAAGUGACCUUAUUUGGAAUAAAGGUCUUUGCAGAUGUAACAAAGAUGAGGAUCUUGAUAUGAGAUCAUCCUAGAUUACAGAAGGCCAUAAAUCCAAUGAUGGUUGCCCCUUAUAAAAGACAGAAAAAGAGAAGGCAUAUAGUAACACAGGAAAGAAGGAAAUGUGAAGACAGAGGCAGGAACUGGAGUUAUGCUGCCACAAGCCAAGCAAUGCCAAGAGCUACCAGAAGCUGGAAGAUCCAAGAAAAAAAUUUCCCCUAAAGUCUUCAGAAGAAAUGCGGCCCAGGAAACACGCUGAUUUUGGACUUCUGGCCUCC